rnacentral:rRNA from 1 species
UACGUAGGCAGCGAGCGUUGUUCGGAGUUACUGGGCGUAAAGAGUGCGUAGGCGGUUUUCUAAGUUUGGUGUGAAAUCUCCCGGCUUAACUGGGAGGGUGCGCCGAAAACUGGAAGGCUUGAGUAUGGGAGAGGUAAGCGGAAUUCCUGGUGUAGCGGUGAAAUGCGUAGAUAUCUGGAGGAACACCGGUGGCGAAGGCGGCAUCCUGGACCGACACUGACACUGAGGAGCGAAAGCCAGGGGAGCAAACGGG